GUAGCUACUCUCGCGAUGUCGCGUAUCAACGCGUUCAAUUGCCGUGACGAACAUCAAAUAUUGUCGGUGCACAGCUGCCAGGCUUGGUUGAUUGGCAUCCUUCUCACCGUCAGCUACAAACAAUAAACAAAAUGACAAGGGGAAAUCAGCGUGACCUUGCUCGUGCUAAAAAUGCCAAAAAGCAAGGGAAUGACAAGGGAAAGAAGGCAGAUGAUGGCAUGUCUGCAGCUGCGAGGAAGCUGAGGGAUGCAGAGAUAAUGCAACAGAAGCAGAAAAAAGCCAGUGACCCAAAGCCAAGUGAUGAGAAAGCCAAAUAGCAGCAGGAUACAGAACCCAAACUACAAUUCUCAAAUAUCAAGAUGUUACCUAUUGAUUAGGUUUUUUUGUCCCAUGCUCUGGGGUACAAAACCAGUUUAAUUUGUGGUUGUACUGUUUGAGAAAUUAAUGGUUUUGAAUGACUAAUGCUUAAGCCUAUUUCAAAAGUUAAAUCAGUAUUUACAAUGUAAAGAAGAAAUUCAGACUCCACAACAAUCCUGUAUUUUUGUAUUCCCUCCUAGAUUUUAAAUAACGCAACUAGUGGUUUUGUUCUUUUUAUAUUAAGGAUUGUCAUAUACAGUGCUGAUGAAAUAAAUUAAAUGAUUUAUUGUAACAAAUUAUAAUUCACACCUGUACAGAAACUUUAAUCAAUAAAAAUACAAUUAGCAAUCAUUAAAUAAAGCACCAAUGUAAAAUGUGA